CAGCCGCGGUAAUACGUAGGGUGCAAGCGUUAAUCGGAAUUACUGGGCGUAAAGCGUGCGCAGGCGGUUAUAUAAGACAGAUGUGAAAUCCCCGGGCUCAACCUGGGAACUGCAUUUGUGACUGUAUAGCUAGAGUACGGCAGAGGGGGAUGGAAUUCCGCGUGUAGCAGUGAAAUGCGUAGAUAUGCGGAGGAACACCGAUGGCGAAGGCAAUCCCCUGGGCCUGUACUGACGCUCAUGCACGAAAGCGUGGGGAGCAAACAGGAUUAGAUACCCCAGUAGUCCCUGUCUCUUAUACACA
rnacentral:rRNA from 1 species